GGGUUGUGAGGUUAAGCGACUAAGCGUACACGGUGGAUGCCCAGGCAGUCAGAGGCGAUGAAGGGCGUGCUAAUCUGCGAUAAGCGUCGGUAAGGUGAUAUGAACCGCAACAACCGACGAUACCCGAAUGGGGAAACCCAGUGCAAUCCGUUGCACUAUCAUGUCAUGAAUACAUAGUGGCAUGAGGCGAACCGGGGGAACUGAAACAUCUAAGUACCCCGAGGAAAAGAAAUCAACCGA
rnacentral:rRNA from 1 species